rnacentral:tRNA from 1 species
AAACCAAGAAAGUUUUAAAAAUAUUACAUUGUGGAUGUAAAGAGGUAUAGUGUUACUUUUGGUA